rnacentral:lncRNA from 1 species
AUCUACUUCUAAUUCUUUGGCGAUCUUCAGUCUUGCAAUCAAAGCUUCAUAUUCUGCUCUGUUAUUUAUCGCAGGAAAUUUGAAGCGCAGUGCGUACUUCGCAAUAAUUCCUUUCAGAUUGACCAAGAUCAGGCCCGUGCCCAUGCCUGAUAUGUUGGAGGAACUGUCCACAUAGAGGGCCCAAAAACCAUCAGGGAGAUCUGUUCUUUCCUCAGGGG